rnacentral:rRNA from 1 species
GAUGAACGCUGGCGGCGUGCUUAACACAUGCAAGUCGAACGGAAAGGCCCAAGCUUGCUUGGGUACUCGAGUGGCGAACGGGUGAGUAACACGUGGGUGAUCUGCCCUGCACUUCGGGAUAAGCCUGGGAAACUGGGUCUAAUACCGGAUAGGACCACAUUUUGGAUGGUGUGGUGGAAAGUUUUUCGGUGUGGGAUGAGCUCGCGGCCUAUCAGCUUGUUGGUGGGGUAAUGGCCUACCAAGGCGUCGACGGGUAGCCGGCCUGAGAGGGUGUACGGCCACAUUGGGACUGAGAUACGGCCCAGACUCCUACGGGAGGCAGCAGUGGGGAAUAUUGCACAAUGGGCGCAAGCCCGAUGCAGCGACGCCGCGUGGGGGAUGACGGCCUUCGGGUUGUAAACUCCUUUCGCUAGGGACGAAGCGUUUUUGUGACGGUACCUGGAGAAGAAGCACCGGCUAACUACGUG